GGGACGGGGGGGAGGGGCCAGCGCUCAGGAAAGCCCAAACUACCAGCCCCGGAGCCGUUGAGCGGUCUGGGAGGCUCUGGGCUCUGGGGACCCGAGAUGCGCGCUAAGAGGGGAGGCGACCAGGCUGGCCCACCAGUGUCGGGCGGAACGUGUCCUACGUCCCGCCUCCAGCAGUGUCUGCGCCUGACUUCUGGGUUCAUGACUUCGCCUGGAGUCUAACACUGGGGCUGUGAGUUGGCCUCCUGCGUGAAGGUUCCCACCUGUAAAAUCGGACCAAUAAUGCCUACCCUAUUUUUGCCUCCCUGAGGGCAUCAGCUCACUUGGUGCUUCCCGCCUGGCGGCUCUCAGGAAAAGCAUGCAGGAUUUGACCACCCCUUACAUCAAGGGAGAGCCUUUUGGUGCCCGUCAGACCCCAGACAUGAAGCUUAAGGGUCUGGUUAUUCUCAUCUAGCCAGGAUCUCAGGAGACAGAGCUGGUUGUGCCUGGUGCUCCCCAGGCCUGAGACGCCCUGAUCCCAUCGGGGGAGGAGCUGGCCAGCAUGACCAGUCGGGACUCCCAGAUGCUAGCCAGGCUCCCCCGAGCCCUCUUUUUGAUUCAGCCUUGCUUGGCCUGUGAAGACGUGAACAAACACGAACUUAGUUUCUAGCGGCUCGUGGCCACGUCCCUAGUGGGACCCUAGCCUCCCUUAAAGUGCCUGCCUGCGAAAGUCACGGUUGUCUGAAGGAGAUGCUGCUAAAUUCCAGCCAACAACUGAAGAGAGGGCCCCUGUCUCCCAGCUUCUGUGAGAAGAUCACUCACUCUGGAGGUAGCCAGCCAUCAUGCUGUGAGGACAUUCAGUCAAGUGGCAUGUGGACAGGCUCAUAUGCCCUGAUCUGUGCUGGGCGAGGAAGGCAGUGGUCGGUUCGGCCGCCGGGCUGGACUGCAGAGGGCCGAGCAGCACACGCCCCACCGCGGCGGGGUCAGGAGGGGCUCGGGCCGUGCGUGUGACCAGGUCAGCUCGUCAGCAGUGGAAUCUGUGGCCUGAGCCUUCUCUGUUGCGGCUUCACUGGACUCCCUGGGAAAAGAAGAAGAAUGCCAAGGCUUUGACUCUUGAAAGGAACAAUUCAACCCUUCAUAACUUCCUCAUU